UCAGGCUCAUGGACUACACCUGGUUGCCCUUGGUUACAGCAUGGAGCCCUCUGAUUGGACACAAGCUUCACUGACUCCAGGUCUGCAGGAUGUCAGAUUCUCCUGAUGAAGAUGACCAGAGGAACGUGGACUCAACCAGCAGGAUGUGGGCGGAGCCUCAGCCAGGUCCGUCCAGGUGUGGGCCCAGCAGGCAGGGUUACUGUGGUUACUGCAGAGUCCUCUACAGCAGCUUGGACCAGCACCUGUCCAGUCUCAGACACCUGGAUUCUGUCCGGGGCUCCACCCGGGGCUCCACCCGGGGCUCC